UACGGGGGGGGCAAGCGUUGUUCGGAAUUACUGGGCGUAAAGGGCUCGUAGGCGGCCAACUAAGUCAGACGUGAAAUCCCUCGGCUCAACCGGGGAACUGCGUCUGAUACUGGAUGGCUUGAAUCCGGGAGAGGGAUGUGGAAUUCCAGGUGUAGCGGUGAAAUGCGUAGAUAUCUGGAGGAACACCGGUGGCGAAGGCGGCAUCCUGGACCGGUAUUGACGCUGAGUGAGCGAAAGCCAGGGGAGCAAACGGG
rnacentral:rRNA from 1 species